GAUGAACGCUGGCGGCGUGCCUAAUACAUGCAAGUCGAGCGAACAGAUGAGGAGCUUGCUCCUCUGACGUUAGCGGCGGACGGGUGAGUAACACGUGGAUAACCUACCUAUAAGACUGGGAUAACUUCGGGAAACCGGAGCUAAUACCGGAUAAUAUAUUGAACCGCAUGGUUCAAUAGUGAAAGACGGUUUUGCUGUCACUUAUAGAUGGAUCCGCGCCGCAUUAGCUAGUUGGUAAGGUAACGGCUUACCAAGGCAACGAUGCGUAGCCGACCUGAGAGGGUGAUCGGCCACACUGGAACUGAGACACGGUCCAGACUCCUACGGGAGGCAGCAGUAGGGAAUCUUCCGCAAUGGGCGAAAGCUUGACGGAGCAACGCCGCGUGAGUGAUGAAGGUCUUCGGAUCGUAAAACGCUGUUAUUAGGGAAGAACAAAUGUGUAAGUAACUAUGCACGUCUUGACGGUACCGAAUCAGAAAGCCACGGCUAACUACGU
rnacentral:rRNA from 1 species